AGGGGUUGAAAUAUGAAUAUUAAAAUCUUAAUGCAGUUGAACCACUGAAGUCAAGGUACCGCAAGAUUUUUUUGAGAUAAAAAAAUGGCCUAAAGAAAACUAGAUAGUUAGACUAUGUAUAUGUAACUAUAGGGAAGCCAAUAAAAUAUUUACCUCUAGCUAGUUCAGCAUGUCAACAGUAGCCUCCAGGUCACCAUUGUUUGCAAUGUACACAUCUGCUAUGGACUGAUCAGAUGCUCCUGGAAAGUGCAUCUUAAGAAACUCCAUAUGUACAUCCCACUUGUAAUAACAAGGCCCAAGGGAGAGGAGGAAGCCCAGGUCCAGGCCAGUAAAAAGAAAAAAAAAAGAAAAAAAAAAUAAAUAAAGAUUAAAAAAAAGAAAAAAAGAAGCCCUAGUAGAAAGGGGGACAAGGCAGUGGAGAAGAAGAAGAAGAAAAAGGAGGAGGAGAAGAAGGAGAAAGAAAGAAGCAUGGCGCGUGGUGCACGCAGCCGGAAAAGAGAAGUUGCAUGGGGUGUCGGGUGCGUUGCCGCCAAAGAAGAAGAAGAAGAAGAAGAAGAAGAAGGAGGAGGAAGGAAGCGUGGCGCGUGACCGGAAGAGAAGAGCUACGUGCGGUCCUCUGUGCUGGGGGCGCGUUGCGUAGUGUCGGGCGCACGACGCGCGCUGUUGAAGAAGAAGAAGCAAAGUGCAUGUUGGGUGGUCCUGAUAUGCAUGAAAUAGACCAUGAUGUGACGUUUCGGAUCCGUUCAAAGAUCCGUGCGAGGCCAAAAAUCAAGGAACCAGAAAGAGAGACCGAAACCGCACUCUUUCAGAUCGGAAUCCAAAUUCGACAUCGAUUUCAGUAAAUUUUCUUCCACCUUACAUUCGAUUAUUCUUUUAAAUUAAAUUCUUAAUCAUGUGUAUAAAAUUUUUAGAGCAAUCGGGAAUAGGAAACUGAAAUGAGACUGACUGUAUGGAACCAAAGUUGUUUAAAAAUUUUCCGAUUUUUUCUUUCGUUGGAGAUUCUAGUAAGAAUUGAGUUAGUUUUCAUUCAGAGAUUUCAUGUUUUCAUAAAAUAAUUUAUUGAUUUCAAAAGAUGGACCCAAGUUUAAUGAAUGAUUUUAGAAUGUAUUUUCUCACAAAUUAUUUUUCGUAUAUAAAAGUAUGUGAAUGGCUUUGUACGAUUAUGUUUGUGUAAUUAAAAAUAAUGUUAAAGCUGUAUGAUUACAUAGUUGAGUGUGUUUGAGUGUAUGUGCGUGUGUCAAUAGAUACACAUAUAGGAAAUAAUGGGUGGGAGUGUAUGUUUAUAAACUAUAUGUUUUGAUGUACAUAUACAUAUGAUUAUGUGGGUAAUUAUUUUGAAUGAUCAUUAUGUUAUUUCGUAUAGAUAUGUGUGAUAUAUGUUAAAUAUAUGUAGUAUAUAGUGAAGAUGAAUAUAUGCGUGCAGGACAACAUAUGCAUAAAUUAGGUGCAUACACAUUUGUGUGUGUGUUGACUUAUAUGUAAUGAAAGUUGUGUGGUAGCGUGUGUACAUAUAUAACUUAAGUGUGAAAGCACAAGUAUAUAUAUAUAUAUACACAUAUAUAUAAAGAUACUAUUAUAUAGACAUAUGUGCAUAUGUGCAUAUGUGAAAGAGAAUGAAGUACAUGGGUGUCUUAAUAUGCAUAUGUAUGAGUGUUUGGAUGUGUAUAGGUGUAUAUAAGUUUUCAAUGGGAGCUGUGUGUGCUGACAGUGAGUGCAAACAUACGUAUAUAUUAAAUUUGUGUAUACACACGUAAGAAUAUAUGGAUAAGUGAUGUGUAUGUGUGAGCAUAUAUAAUACAGUGUAUGUAUAGAUAAACGAUUAAAGUUGUUAUAUGAGUGUGAAUGUAAAUCUGUAAGUUUUUAAUAAUAGACAUGAUUAUAUGCGAAAUAUGUGUAGGGGUAGUUAAGAUAUACAUUGCUGUGCAUGUAUACAUAUAUAAUAUGAAGUGUACUACAUACAUGUAAAUUAUAUGUACAAUGGAUACGCGAACAAGUCAGUAAGUAUAGAAAUAUAAGAAUAUGUAUGUUUGUGAUUGGUGUUUGAGUUUUUGAAAUUAAGAUA
rnacentral:lncRNA from 1 species